rnacentral:rRNA from 1 species
GACGAACGCUGGCGGCGUGCUUAACACAUGCAAGUCGAACGGAAAGGCCCUGCUUUUGUGGGGUGCUCGAGUGGCGAACGGGUGAGUAACACGUGAGUAACCUGCCCUUGACUUUGGGAUAACUUCAGGAAACUGGGGCUAAUACCGGAUAGGAGCUCCUGCUGCAUGGUGGGGGUUGGAAAGUUUCGUCGGUUGGGGAUGGACUCGCGGCUUAUCAGCUUGUUGGUGGGGUAGUGGCUUACCAAGGCUUUGACGGGUAGCCGGCCUGAGAGGGUGACCGGCCACAUUGGGACUGAGAUACGGCCCAGACUCCUACGGGAGGCAGCAGUGGGGAAUAUUGCACAGUGGGCGGAAGCCUGAUGCAGCGACGCCGCGUGCGGGAUGACGGCCUUCGGGUAGUAAACCGCUUUCGCCUGUGACGAAGCGUGAGUGACGGUAAUGGGUAAAGAAGCACCGGCUAACUACGG